rnacentral:rRNA from 2 species
UGAGGAAUAUUGGGCAAUGGGCGCAAGCCUGACCCAGCCAUGCCGCGUGAAGGAUGAAUGCCCUAUGGGUUGUAAACUUCUUUUGUACGGGACGAAACUCCUGGUCGUGACCGGGAUUGACUGUACCGUGCGAAUAAGCAUCGGCUAACUCCGUGCCAGCAGCCGCGGUAAUACGGAGGAUGCAAGCGUUAUCCGGAUUCAUUGGGUUUAAAGGGUGCGUAGGCGGAAUAAUAAGUCAGUGGUGAAAGCCUGCGGCUUAACCGUAGAAUUGCCAUUGAUACUGUUAUUCUUGAGUAUAGUUGAGGUGGGCGGAAUGUGUAAUGUAGCGGUGAAAUGCUUAGAUAUUACACAGAACACCAAUUGCGAAGGCAGCUCACUAAGCUGUUACUGACGCUGAGGCACGAAAGCGUGGGGAGCAAACAGG